AGGGAUAUAGCUCAGUGGUAGAGCAUUCGACUGCAGAUCAAGAAGUCGAUGGUUCAAAUCCGGGGUGUCCCCU
rnacentral:tRNA from 1 species